AUAGAGAAUAUACACACCAUAGUCUAGUAUAGACUAGUCAAUAAAGAUAGCAAUGCCUCAAAUACUGAGGUAAAUACAUGUAAUUGUAAAACCUUAACAUAUAGGUGCACAGCAACAUAUUGCUGCCCUUAACAUAUAGGUGCACAGCGACAUAUUGCUGCCCUUAACAUAUAGGUGCACAGCGACAUAUUGCUGCCCUUAACAUAUAGGUGCACAGCGACAUAUUGCUGCACUCAUAGUAUUUCUGUAAUUGGUUGUAAUCAUCUUCAGAAAGGGGCUUUAAACCAGUAUUUAAAGGUUCCACUUGAGCCAAAAUAACAAGCUAAACUAAAACAUCCCAUCCUAGCAAUAUUCUUCAAAAGACCAAAACGAUAUAGACCUAAAUUGGAAUAUCAUGAGAACAUAAAUUAUGAGCAGUUUUAAUGCAGAUUGGGCAAAAGAUGUGACAUAAGAGCAUACAUUGUUUCAAUGUAGCCAUUAUAAGAAAAACUUACUUGCCCACUAGCAGCCAUUCAUUUUAACAGAAUGGAAUAAUUGUUGUUCUCGGCCCAGAAAUCAUUAGAACAAAUCUACUGAGAAUGUUUCAUGAUGAUUUAUCUCAAAAUGUCACUAGUGUUAACCAUGUAAUAUAACUAUUUACCAUAUUUUUCCAUGGACCGGAACUAUUUUAGAACUCUGCUGAUAUUUCAUUAGAAUAAAUGCUCUGACCAAUUUUCAGGAAAAUUGGACUAAAAAUGUGACUUCUAGAGUGUUAAUUUACUUUUCUUUUUAAAAUUGACCACAUGACCUAGUUUUGUAUACCUCACCCCAGUUUUAAAUGAAGGGACAUUUAAUUGGGACAAUUUAUUAACCAAUUUUCAUGGUGAUAGGACAUUAACAAGGUUUCAUUUUAGCAAUAAAUGGACACUGCCCCAACCCCUGGAGGCAAUGUUUUUCAACAUACAAAAACUAUUUUCAAACUAAGACCACAGAUUAUUUAACCAAAUAUAACAAUGAAACAAGGGCUGUUUGUAAAACAUGCAUGCCCCCCAUAUGGGCUCUCCGUUGUAGUGACAGCCAUUGUGUGAAUAUGUUUUUUGUCACUGUAUGUCAAUGACCUGUGAAAUGUAUCCAAUUAAUAGUGCAAAAACCAAUCAGGACCUAUACUAAUCAAUUAUAUCCAUUAUAUGAUUGAGUCUUUGAUUUUUUGGAUUCCUUUCACACAUUUUGACUUAUUUGACAAUAUGUGAAACGUGCACACAAUUUGUUAUGUUUUAUUUAUUAAUGGUAAUGAAACAUGUUAUUUAUAGCAGUUAACUCCCCUAGUCAAUGACCACCAUAGAUAGCAAU